UACGAAGGGGGGCUAGCGUUGCUCGGAUUGACUGGGCGUAAAGGGCGCGUAGGCGGAUAGUACAGUCAGGCGUGAAAUUCCUGGGCUCAACCUGGGGGCUGCGUUUGAUACGUAUUGUCUGGAGUUCGGAAGAGGGUCGUGGAAUUCCCCAGUGUAGAGGUGAAAUUCGUAGAUAUUGGGAAGAACACCAGUGGCGAAGGCGGCUCACUGGACCGGAACUGACGCUGAGGCGCGAAAGCGUGGGGAGCAAACGGG
rnacentral:rRNA from 1 species